rnacentral:lncRNA from 1 species
AUAACCUUGUUGUUACUCUAUAAGCAGAUGUUUAGGUUAUUUAUUUAAAAGACGCGUUUAUUAAACAGUUUUAAUAUUAGCGUUGACUUAAUUGUGUGUCAGCAAUCUGCUUUGUAAAAAUGUAAUGUAUAAUUUAACUUUGGUUUAAAUAUUUAAAUAUUGCCGCGCAGAAUUGAUAUGCUUAACAUCUUGUUAUUUGUCUGAACUUUAUAUCUACAUGAGAUAAUCUUACAAGAGGUUUAAUUUUAUAGAGGGUGACGAGAAAAUAAGAGGAAACAUCAGCACUUUAUUUUGAGAUCUUUGAGAUCUUAAACAAGCUCAGAAUUAGCGCUGAGAAGCGGUUGGGAAGCUGGAGCUGUUGGAUGGUUCAGCAGCAGCAACAGGUGCAUGGGAGGAUGUGGAAAACUGGCAUUGAAAACACGCACAAGCAAUGAUCCAGCAGUCCUGGAGUAGUAAAAAGGUGAUGAA